rnacentral:sRNA from 1 species
GUGACUGUAUCACUUCCGGUCUCAUUUCGUAGUGUCAGGGCAUAUAAGAGAGUUUCAUGUUGGAUAGAUUCGGAUACAUCAACAGACGAUGGGAGAUUUAGGAUCUCGGGAGGCUAGCAUUGUGAGAAAUCAAUGUAACAACAUCGAAGUUGACAUUUUUAUAAUAAUUUUGUAUAAUUUUUAAAAGGUGCAAAACGUUGUCUCACCGUGUUAAUGACAGUAACAAUCAGAUUCUUUUGUUGACUUCGACCACAUGGGUCUGUAAUCUCGAUAGUGACCGUGUAUGUCCCAUAGUUCAAAGUACUUCCGGUAUGGAUUUCACCUGCAAGUAUGAUCAGUAUAUCACCAUUGUUAUAUUUAAUGGUAGCUAACUUAUAUGAUUGUGUAUAUGUUAAUUUUUGAAAAUAAUAAUUCCUCUCUGUAGCUGGACCUUGCCUGUAGCAGUAUUCAGUGUGAAUUCUGGGGCGUUGUUCUUCUGAAUAGUGAUGUAGGGAAUAUCUGCGGCAUUGGGAUCGCUAUAGCUGACAGUAUAUACAUAAGUUCCUAUAGCGACAGUGUCCGGGACCGUUACAGUCUGCGGAAGGUACUCACAGUCGGCCACAGAGAAUUGUAUGCCGUAGUUUCUGCCCGUAAUGUACGGUGUGUUCAAGGUGUAGGUACCCCCUACAGAAAAUCCCGGCACCCCCGACAACUGGAUGUUCUGAUCUACCGUAGUUAUGGAGUAGGGGAUGAUGUCGUCACCACUUGAGUACCUGAAGAACAUUAAGUUUGACUUAAACAUAAUUUUAUGAUCUAUAGUUAUUUCUAUAAAGAUUGAUACACAAUGAUCACUGCAACGCGGGUUGUUUAUUAUGUAUUUUUGUAUUUUGUCGUUUUAUUGAUUGGAUAGCAUUUAUCUAAUAUCGGAUGCAAGUACAAAAGAAAUAAAUAAUCAACUUAUUAAUUUUCAAAUUUGUUCUUACCAGCCAAUGACGUCAUUUUUUUCUAUCAAGAUGUCAUUGCCUGUAUACACAGUUAACGUUGCAUUCACUGAAAAUAGAAUAAAAGAAU